rnacentral:rRNA from 1 species
UACGUAGGGUGCAAGCGUUGUCCGGAAUUAUUGGGCGUAAAGCGCGUGUAGGCGGGAGGCCAAGUCUGUGGUGAAAUCGCCUGGCUUAACUGGGCGGGGUCCAUGGAAACUGGUCACCUGGAGGUCGGUAGAGGCAAGUGGAAUUCCCGGUGUAGUGGUGAAAUGCGUAGAGAUCGGGAGGAACACCAGUGGCGAAGGCGGCUUGCUGGGCCGGACCUGACGCUGAGACGCGAAGGCGUGGGGAGCGAACGGG